rnacentral:rRNA from 1 species
GAUGAACGCUGGCGGCGUGCCUAAUACAUGCAAGUCGAGCGAACGGACGAGAAGCUUGCUUCUCUGAUGUUAGCGGCGGACGGGUGGGUGACACGUGGAUAACCUACCUAUAAGACUGGGAUAACUUCGGGAAACCGUAGCUAAUACCGGAUAAUAUUUUGAACCGCAUGGUUCAAAAGUGAAAGACGGUCUUGCUGUCACUUAUAGAUGGAUCCGCGCUGCAUUAGCUAGUUGGUAAGGUAACGGCUUACCAAGGCAACGAUGCAUAGCCGACCUGAGAGGGUGAUCGGCCACACUGGAACUGAGACACGGUCCAGACUCCUACGGGAGGCAGCAGUAGGGAAUCUUCCGCAAUGGGCGAAAGCCUGACGGAGCAACGCCGCGUGAGUGAUGAAGGUCUUCGGAUCGUAAAACUCUGUUAUUAGGGAAGAACAUAUGUGUAAGUAACUGUGCACAUCUUGACGGUACCUAAUCAGAAAGCCACGGCUAACUACGUG